rnacentral:rRNA from 1 species
GACGAACGCUGGCGGCGUGCUUAACACAUGCAAGUCGAACGGUAAGGCCCUUCGGGGUACACGAGUGGCGAACGGGUGAGUAACACGUGGUGAUCUGCCCUGCACUUCGGGAUAAGCCUGGGAAACUGGGUCUAAUACCGGAUAGGACCAUGGACUUCACGGUUUGUGGUGGAAAGCUUUUGCGGUGUGGGAUGGGCCCGCGGCCUAUCAGCUUGUUGGUGGGGUAAUGGCCUACCAAGGCGACGACGGGUAGCCGGCCUGAGAGGGUGUCCGGCCACACUGGGACUGAGAUACGGCCCAGACUCCUACGGGAGGCAGCAGUGGGGAAUAAUUGCACAAAUGGGCGCAAGCCUGAUGCAGCGAC